rnacentral:rRNA from 1 species
UCAAGAAACUUCCACAAUGGGCGAAAGCCUGAUGGAGCGACGUCGCGUGAUGGACGAAGUGCUUCGGCACGUAAACAUCUUUUAUGUGGGAUGAAAUUAUUGACAGUACCACAUGAAUAAGGGGCUCCUAACUCUGUGCCAGCAGGAGCGGUAAUACAGAGGCCCCAAGCGUUAUCCGGAAUCACUGGGCGUAAAGGGUGUCGAGGCGGUUGUAUUAGUCGUUCGUAAAAUCUACGAGCUUAACUUGUAGGCGGCGAACGAAACGGUACGACUUGAGGUUUGGAGAGGUGCGUGGAACUCACGGUGUAGGGGUGAAAUCCGUUGAUAUCGUGGGGAACACCAAAGGCGAAGGCAGCGCACUGGCCAAAAUCUGACGCUCACACACGAAAGCUAGGGUAGCGAAGAGGAUUAGAUACCCACGUAGUCCCUGAGCGGGCUGGCA